rnacentral:rRNA from 1 species
AUUGAACGCUGGCGGCAGGCCUAACACAUGCAAGUCGAACGCGUGGCGGACGGGUGUGUAAUGUCUGGGAAACUGCGCGCUGGAGGGGGGUAACUACUGGAAACGCUAGCUAAUAUCCCAUACCAUCGGAGGUGCCCCGAUGGGAUUUGCUAGUGGGUGGGGUAACGGCUCACCUAGGCGACGAUCCCUAGCUGGUCUGAGAGGAUGACCAGCCACACUGGAACUGAGACACGGUCCAGACUCCUACGGGAGGCAGCAGUGGGGAAUAUUGCACAAUGGGCGCAAGCCUGAUGCAGCCAUGCCGCGUGUAUGAAGAAGGCCUUCGGGUUGUAAAGUACUUUCAGCGAGGAGGCGUUACUCGCAGAAGAAGCACCGGCUAACUCCGUGCCAGCAGCCGCGGUAAUAC